UAGACCCAGCACCCAUAUGGGAUCCUGGCGCGUUCAAGCAGGGAAUUUGUGUGCCAUGUUCCUGUGGGUUCUGUUGUGACUGUAUAAUGAAUCUCUUGUGUAAGAUGAGUUUCUGGGAGAAAGAUAAUCACCUGAAAGAAUCUGCAGUGAAUGCUCCCAAGAUAACCAAGGCACUCCCAUAAGCAUGUGCUGGAUAAACCAAAGCAAAUACACUAAGAUGUUGUGCCCAACAUCAAAGACCAUUUUGAAGG